rnacentral:miRNA from 1 species
GAGUUCUGCAUAGAUAUAGACAGAGAGAGAGAGAGAGAGAGAGAGAGAGAGCGAAAAAGAGGUGGUGGUGGUGGUGGCUGCUCCCUCUGCCUCUCUCUUUCUGUCUGUUUCGUUCUGUCUCUAU